CCUUUAUUUUUUGUUUGUUUAUUGACAUAUUUUGCUGGCCAUUUUUCCAAUUACACACCUCAAAAAGAGUGGGCCCACGUAAUUUUUCUUUAACAAUAUAUAACGUCGCAUAUACCAAGGGGAACAUAAUCAACAUCAUCUUCUCUACCUUAUACCAUCACAGCAAGACUCCAAUACACACAGUAACAACCAUACUCACAGACACCAUCAAAAAUUUCCAUUCACACACUAAAACACCACACAUACAGUGGUACAAAAAGAGAAUUAGUAGCGAAGGAAGAGGGAAAAUGAGAAUUAGACAUAAGAUAAUAGAGAGUCGAUUGGAGAGGGGUUGAACAGAAGCUGACUGGGUGUUGAGUUUUUUUUUCGGCGAUUUGUUCGCUAGAAUCGUCCAUCCACUGCCGAACUCAGUCGUCGACCAGACCCAUUCCCACCAGCUCUUCCACCACUCCAAAAACCGAUCAAACCCACACCAUAUCGAUUCAAAUACCCGACCCAUUCUUUUCCAUUCCCGUCUCUGUCAAAUCCUUCGGUGAAGCUCACCGGAUCUUUAAAAAGUAGCGAAAUUCAUGGUCAAAACAGUCCACAAAUUUCAGUUGAGCAUCGGUCUUUCGGGUUCUAUUUUGAAUCACCAAGUUGGGUUUACUUUGAAGUCGAAAUUUGGUUUCUAUGUUGGUUGUUGAUUCAAACAGAGGUCCGAUCGAAGUUUGAUGAGUUGUUGUUCGCCGUUGAGGUUCUUCGGUCGAGGUCCGGUGGCGAAGCUCCAUCCUUUGACCUGUAAUUCAGCAUACUCAAAGAUCGAUUGAGGAGCCCGCCUGAAGAAUAGGGCGGUGAGAUUGAAAGUCAGGAGCCCGCCUGAAGAACAGGGUGAUAAAAUUGAAGGUUAGGAGUCCGCCUGAAGAACAGGGUGAUGAAAUCGAAAGUUGAUGAAACAUAAAGUCAGGAUCCCGCUUGAAGAGCAGGGCAAAUAAGUUGAAAGUCAACAGAUUGAAAAAUAGUAAGUCAGGAGCCCACCUGGAGAAUAGGUUGAA